rnacentral:rRNA from 1 species
GAAGGCCCGAGCGUUAUCCGGAUUCAUUGGGCGUAAAGGGAGCGUAGGCGGGUGUUCAAGUCAGCUGUAAAAUCGCGCGGCUCAACCGCGCCCCGCAGUUGAAACUGGAUGCCUUGAGUGCAUGCGAGGCAGGCGGAAUUCGUGGUGUAGCGGUGAAAUGCAUAGAUAUCACGAGGAACCCCGAUUGCGAAGGCAGCCUGCCGGUGUGCCACUGACGCUGAGGCUCGAAGGUGCGGGUAGCAAA